AUUGAACGCUGGCGGCGUGCCUAAUACAUGCAAGUCGCGCGAAGCGGGGACGGGUGAGUAACACGUGGAUAACCUCCUAUAAGACUGGGAUAACUUCGGGAAACCGGAGCUAAACCGGAUACUUAUCGAUGGAUCCGCGCUGCAUUAGCUAGUUGGUAAGGUAACGGCUUACCAGGGCAACGAGGCAUAGCCGACCUGAGAGGGUGAUCGGCCACACUGGAACUGAGACAAGGUCCAGACUCCGACGGGAGGCAGCAGUGGGGAAUCUUCCGCAAUGGGCGAAAGCCUGACGGAGCAACGCCGCGUGAUGGAUGAAGGUCUUCGGAUUGUAAAAGUCUGUUAUGAGGGAAGCGGUACCUAAUCAGAAAGCCACGGCUAACUACGUGCCAGCAGCCGCGGUAAUUC
rnacentral:rRNA from 1 species